rnacentral:tRNA from 1 species
GCGGAUAUAGUUCAGUUGGUUAGAGCACCUGAUUGUGGUUCAGGAUGUCACGGGUUCGAGUCCCGUUAUUCGCCCCA